GUGAGGAAUAUUGGUCAAUGGGCGGGAGCCUGAACCAGCCAAGUCGCGUGAAGGAAGAAGGAUCUAUGGUUCGUAAACUUCUUUUGCAGGGGAAUAAAGUGCAGGACGUGUCCUGUUUUGUAUGUACCCUGAGAAUAAGGAUCGGCUAACUCCGUGCCAGCAGCCGCGGUAAUACGGAGGAUCCGAGCGUUAUCCGGAUUUAUUGGGUUUAAAGGGUGCGUAGGUGGUUUGAUAAGUCAGCGGUGAAAGUUUGCAGCUUAACUGUAAAAAUGCCGUUGAAACUGUCGGACUUGAGUGUAAAUGAGGUAGGCGGAAUGCGUGGUGUAGCGGUGAAAUGCAUAGAUAUCACGCAGAACUCCGAUUGCGAAGGCAGCUUACUGGGAUGCAACUGACGCUCAUGCACGAAAGCGUGGGGAUCAAACAGGAUUAGAUACCCGUGUAGUCC
rnacentral:rRNA from 1 species